rnacentral:rRNA from 1 species
UGCCGCGUGUGUGAAGAAGGCCUUUUGGUUGUAAAGCACUUUAAGCGAGGAGGAGGCUACCGAGAUUAAUACUCUUGGAUAGUGGACGUUACUCGCAGAAUAAGCACCGGCUAACUCUGUGCCAGCAGCCGCGGUAAUACAGAGGGUGCAAGCGUUAAUCGGAUUUACUGGGCGUAAAGCGCGCGUAGGUGGCCAAUUAAGUCAAAUGUGAAAUCCCCGAGCUUAACUUGGGAAUUGCAUUCGAUACUGGUUGGCUAGAGUAUGGGAGAGGAUGGUAGAAUUCCAGGUGUAGCGGUGAAAUGCGUAGAGAUCUGGAGGAAUACCGAUGGCGAAGGCAGCCAUCUGGCCUAAUACUGACACUGAGGUGCGAAAGCAUGGGGAGCAAACAGGAUUAGAUACCCUGGUAGUCCAUGCCGUAAACGAUGUCUACUAGCCGUUGGGGCCUUUGAGGCUUUAGUGGCGCAGCUAACGCGAUAAGUAGACCGCCUGGGGAGUACGGUCGCAAGACUAAAACUCAAAGGAAAUUGACGGA